GCUUCUAUGUAACAGUUGGUAGAUAUAACACUUUGUAAGGGUGAGGUCCCCAGUUCGACUCUGGGUAUCAGCACCA
rnacentral:tRNA from 1 species